GAAGAAUGACUUUGGGAAAAGUGCAAAGGUGAUAAUGUGAUAAGUGAUGGGAGAGGAGGGCAACAUCGUAAAUGGCUUGUGGUGAGUUUUUGAGAUGUUUCAUGAAUACAGGCUGGCGAUUUCAGAGAGACGUAGUAGCAGCUCCUCUUUUAAGUCUUUAGCCGCUUUCAAUAGCUCUUUUACUACUACUCCCACGCUCCACAAUUGACACACACGCUCUAUUGGCUGAUUUGCCUAGCGUGCAGCCGCCAGCCGUAGGCGUUUAGCAUUCAACCAGGCCAACUUUAUGAAAACUAAACUCACUUGUUCCAAGUUCCCUUUCAAAACUAAACUACAGCCACCCAAAUGCCCUUUCAAAAGUUCCAAGUUUUAUCAUAUUUCCUUUUAAUUUGCCUCUUCUAUUUGCUUGAGCUUCAAUUUUACCACCCACCUAUGAAGAGAACCAGUGGUUGUGACUUGAUGAUCUGUGACUGAUUAGAUUAAUAGAUUUAAGGAUACAAAAUUCCCUUUCCUAAUAUCUAAGGAUGUUUUCAAGGUUUUAUCCAGUUGUUUGUCUGUCUGUCAUGAUUAGAAUAUUUUGGUAUUUUCAGAAGAGCCUCGAAUCUGCUUCAGGAAUUAAUCUUGACUCUUGUAUUUUGGCUCUGACCUUCACUUCUAGAUUCCAGAUGAUAGCUACUGUGUUCCCAUUCUAGCCAUCAUCAAUGAGAUGAGCUUCGACCCUAAUGAGCCUAGGUUUGGAUGGGUUUUUUUUGUUGCUGUUGCUUGUUUUCUCUACCUAUUUGGCGGAUGUGUUGUCACAGUCUCACUUUGAUAGCGAGGGUUCAAGUUUUAGGUUGCGUUGCGCAGUGACCUUUCUCAUGUAUGUGGUUGGACCUUUGUUUUUCGUUUCUUCUAUAAAUGAAGUUUACUAAAGAAGGGUUAAUGAAUCUGAGCCGCCAACUCCAUCAAAAUGCACGGCUGUCUAAAGUACUAUUUGCAUAACCGGGGUGUGGGAGAAAAUUCCAAACAGUAUGAAGGCAAUUAUUACGUGAUGAACAUGGAGGAUACCGCCAAGUAUGAAACAAAAAACAACAGCAUCUCUGCUACACCAUAACAAGCAACUGGUGAGUCACGAGCAUAAACACAGUACCUGCAUGGCGUCACAUGUUGGGCUCACAAUUGUCCACAAAUAUUAUUUGUAUUACUAUUUUUUUAUUCUUUUCGUUGUUUGUGUUUGUUUAGGCUUUGAUGCUUUAUAUAUCAAGGAAUGAUAAAAUGGUAUAUAGAUGUCUUGAUUGUUUUGCAUGAUGGUGUGGGUUUAGAUAUUAGAUUGUCUGUUUCCAGA
rnacentral:lncRNA from 1 species